rnacentral:lncRNA from 1 species
CUUGAUGAGCAUCACGGAUUCUAGCUAACAUAGAAGUUUAAUAUUCUUCGUAGCACAAGUUGGCAUAUUCGAAGCAGAGACUAGUCACUGCAGCCUAGCCUGGCUGGGUUAGAGCUAGGCUAAGUCAGGCGGCUUCCGGAUGACAUAGCAAGAGAGGCAAAGAAUCGGAUCCCUAAGGUUAUGCAGUCCACAUUAAAGAGCAAGAUUUAUUUUCAUUAUAUUUUUUCUUAACUGAGGGCAUCUUAUCUAAUUAGACAGGCGUCUUUGGAACCAAAUUGUGCUCUUUGUGACAUUUGGAAUUAAUAUGAGGAAAUACUCUUUGUAUUGCCUGGUGUUGAAAAUGUCAGUAAACAAACUCAGCAGUCAGAGAAGGAGGGGGUGCCGGUAACAAA